rnacentral:rRNA from 1 species
UGUCUCUUACGGACUAGCCAAUGAAAUUGAUCCUUCAGUACAAAAGCUGGAAUUAGCCCAUAAGACGAGAAGACCCUGUGGAGCUUCAAAACCAAAAUCACCAAACAUGCUUCAUGGGUUUUUAGUUGGGGCGACUUUGGAGCAAAAAAAACCCUCCAAACAUAAAUCUAUUUAUUAAGACUAACACACCAAAAAAAUAUUAUAGACCCAGCAGUAUCUAUUUACUGUCUGACCAAUGAACCAAGUUACCCCAGGGAUAACAGCGCCAUCCUCUUCUAGAGUCCUUAUCGACAAGAGGGUUUACGACCUCGAUGUUGG